rnacentral:piRNA from 1 species
UUAAAUUUAUUGAUCUCAGAG